AGAGUUUGAUCCUGGCUCAGGACGAACGCUGGCGGUGUGCUUCACACAUGCAAGUCGAACGGAGUAGCAAUACUCAGUGGCGGACGGGUGAGUAACACGUGGGAAUCUACCAUUAGGUGGGGAAUAACAGGCCGAAAGGACUGCUAAUGCCGCAUAUGUAGGCAUCUCGACAGAGAUGUUUAUGAAAGGAGUAAUCCGCCUUUUGAUGAGCCCGCGUCCGAUUAGCUAGUUGGUAGGAUAAAAGCCUACCAAGGCGACGAUCGGUAGGUGGUCUGAGAGGAUGAUCACCCACAAUGGGACUGAGACACGGCCCAUACUCCUACGGGAGGCAGCAGUGGGGAAUUUUACGCAAUGGGGGAAACCCUGACGUAGCGACACCGCGUGAGCGAAGAAGCCCUUUGGGGUGUAAAGCUCUGUCAACAGGAACGAAACAAAUGACGGUACCUGUGGAGGAAGCAUCGGCUAACUACGUGCCAGCAGCCGCGGUAAGACGUAGGAUGCAAGCGUUGUCCGGAUUUAUUGGGCGUAAAGAGUUCGUAGGCGGUUUGUUAAGUCUGAUGUUAAAGACCGGGGCUCAACCUCGGAAAUGCAUUGGAUACUGGCAGACUGGAGUGCAGUAGAGGCUAGUGGAAUUCCCAGUGUAGCGGUGAAAUGCGUAGA
rnacentral:rRNA from 1 species